UGGUACAACGAGUCGCCAACCCGCGAGGGUGCGCUAAUCUCUUAAAACCAUUCUCAGUUCGGAUUGCAGGCUGCAACUCGCCUGCAUGAAGUCGGAAUCGCUAGUAAUCGCGGAUCAGCACGCCGCGGUGAAUACGUUCCCGGGCCUUGUACACACCGCCCGUCACACCACGGAAGUUGGGAGUACCCAAAGUAGGUUGCCUAACCGCAAGGAGGGCGCUUCCUAAGGUAAGACCGAUGACUGGGGUGAAGUCGUAACAAGGUAAC
rnacentral:rRNA from 1 species